rfam:Trichobilharzia regenti genome assembly, scaffold: TRE_scaffold0005107
AUUCAUAUGACGAGUCCCGAACAGGACGAAAUGCGCGUUAUCCUGGAU